rnacentral:snRNA from 1 species
AGCUUCCGCCACGUGUCU